GGACGCGAAGGAGCGAGAAGAUUCGUCUGCUCACCCUCGCCGGCGAUCGCUUUUGGCGGCGGGGGAAUCCAUCGCCCUUCCUUGGCUGAACCCAGUAAGCAUCGUCGGAGGACAGGCGGCCGGCGGGAAGGCGAAGAGGUUCCGUCUCUUCUUCUCCUUCAUUCCUCUCCCGCCCGCGUGCUUGCUGCCCUCUUCCGAUCUGUGUUGCCGCCGAUUUCUCCAAGAAUCGCCUGGUAUUAUCAUUUUUGCUCAUAUUUUGCAGAUUUAGUUCAAUAUAAACUAAAUAAAAAAAAUAUAAAGCCUGUUCUCUGUCCGUUUGCGAUUUCAUGUGGGCUAGUCGCCGUUUGUCGGAUUGGCUUGGGUAUUGCUCUCAUGUAUUGGUCGACCAUAAAAGAAGAAGGGAUCUUCUUGAUUUGGUAUCCUAAAUCUUCUGUUUCUUUUCCCACGACGAUCUUCUUUCAUUUGGUAGCUUCGGGCUCAGUUUUUUUUUUCCUAUCAACUUAUGGUGGGGGAAAAUUUCUCCGAAAUCACUUUUAUUUAUGAUCAGUGUAAAUUUUUUCUCAUUUUUGUGUUUGCCUUAAUCGAUGAUAUGACGAGGAAGUAGCUAAGUUGCACGCCUGAACUUGGAAUGGAGCUCCUCCGUUGAUAUGCAAAUCUGCAAGGAGCCCUCAUCUGAUUCAUAUGAAACUAGAAAUUUUCUGGUGAUCGGCGGGAGCAAAUAUUUUAUGCCAUAUUUCACCGGUAUAUCUUAUCUUGAAAGAUAAAUUGACACUGGAAGAACUUGGCGCUGGGCUGUGGGCUAGUCUCAUAUCUAUUUACUGUUCGUCGUCAUAUGAUUAUUCUAGUGCCCCAGCACAUACCUAUAAUGUGAUGGGGAAUUCAUGUGAUAUAGACCUUGUUAUUCAUUCGGUUUGCAUGAAUGAACCCAUUACCAGCGAGCCUCCAAACUUGGGUGGAAACAAGCAUUCAUGGGAUUUCUUACAGUGCCCGUCCUUGUAGAAGAUGAUACAUUACAGGUGUAUCUUAAUUCCUUAAAGCUCCACGGUUCUAUGUAGAAAUGCCAUCUCGUUGAUACAGCAUUGAGUUUCUGGAUCUACUGAGAAAAUAUUUUGAAUGUGGUUGACUGCGCCGCAGAGGGCAGAUGAACAGUGGAAGGGUUUCGCCCAAAUGUAUCCUCCUGCAUUCCCGGGAAAAUGUUUAUUGUCGUACCAGAUGUUCUUUCUCUUCAGGCUGAGCUAAAAUUUGAACAGUGACUAGGAAUAUGAUAUCAAAUAUAAAGACUUGGGAUAAUAUUGGUGGAGGACUUGGCGGCCGAUGAUCCAUUAGAUUCUUGAAGGACCCUACCAUACUGGCCCAGAGGCUGAUCAGGCCCAGGUAGCUUUAACAAGGGUGAU
rnacentral:lncRNA from 1 species